AUGAUUCCAGCGCCCCCAGGCUCCAGGCUUUGCCCCCGCGGCGGUUUACUUCAAGCGGGAGACAAGCGCCUCGGGCUGCGCCGGUGGCAGGGCCGGAGGCCGCUGCUGUCCCCAACCCAGGGGGCUCGGCAGGGAGAGACCCCGCUGCAGACUGACGGGUGUUCUGUGAAGGAAGGGGCAAACCCCACACACGGGUUUUCAACUUUAAAACCCGCUACCAGAACGUGCCUCCCCGGACACGCAGCAUGCGCGGCGCCGGGAGCCGCUCAGCCGGGCAGCCGCUGCCCCGCCCGGGAGCGGCGCCCCAGGAGCCCGACGCCGGCGGCGCUGAGGGGAGGCCGCGGCGCCCCCGCCGCCCACAGGGCUCGCCUUUCCCGCCGCCCGCCCGGCGACAGGGCGCCAGCGGCCCCGCCGCCGCCUCUCCUCAGGCACGGCGCUCCGGCGACCCCCAGCCCCCCGCUGGCGGGCGGCGGUUGCGCAGGGCGGCGGGGCGCCUCCGGCCCCGCGGCGGGCCCCGUGGCGGGCGGCGGCUGGCGCCCGGCGCGGCGGGGAGCUCGGGCGGCGGCGGGAGGGCGGGCUGCGGGGCGGGCGGUGCGCGGCGGCCGGCAGCGCUGCGCCCCGAUAGGCGGCGGCGGGCCGUGUUGGUGCUGCCGCCGCGGCUGCUGCUGCUGGCGCCGAGCCGCUGAAGCCCGGCGGAGGGGCUCGCCGGCUCUCGCACGCAGCGGCGGCGGCGGAGCGCGUCGCGUCGAGCGGAGCGAGCGGGGAGGAGGAGGCGAAGGAGGAGGAGGAGGAGGAGGAGAGGAGGAGGAGGAAGGGGAGGGGGGAUCUUCUCGGCGAGGAUGCCCGGAGCGGCUGCAGGGACGGCGGCGACAGGAGCAGGCUCGUCAGGAGCGGCAGCAGCGGGGAUGCUCCCGGCUCAGGAGGCGGCCAAGAUCUACCACACCAACUACGUGCGGAACUCGCGGGCCAUCGGCGUGCUCUGGGCCAUCUUCACCAUCUGCUUUGCCAUCGUCAACGUGGUGUGCUUCAUCCAGCCCUACUGGAUCGGGGACGGCGUGGACACGCCGCAGGCGGGCUACUUCGGGCUCUUCCACUACUGCAUCGGCAACGGCUUCAGCCGGGAACUCACCUGCCGGGGCAGCUUCACAGACUUCUCCAGUCUGCCCUCGGGAGCCUUCAAAGCUGCUUCCUUCUUCAUCGGGCUCUCGAUGA
rnacentral:lncRNA from 1 species